rnacentral:rRNA from 1 species
GAGUAAUGCCUAGGAAGUUGCCCAGUAGAGGGGGAUAACCAUUGGAAACGAUGGCUAAUACCGCAUAUUCUCUUUGGAGCAAAGCAGGGGACCUUCGGGCCUUGCGCUAUUGGAUACGCCUAGGUGGGAUUAGCUAGUUGGUGAGGUAAUGGCUCACCAAGGCAACGAUCCCUAGCUGGUCUGAGAGGAUGAUCAGCCACACUGGAACUGAGACACGGUCCAGACUCCUACGGGAGGCAGCAGUGGGGAAUAUUGCACAAUGGGCGAAAGCCUGAUGCAGCCAUGCCGCGUGUAUGAAGAAGGCCUUCGGGUUGUAAAGUACUUUCAGUCGUGAGGAAGGGGGUAAGCUUAAUACGCUUAUCUCUUGACGUUAGCGACAGAAGAAGCACCGGCUAACUCCGUGCCAGCAGCCGCGGUAAUACGGAGGGUGCGAGCGUUAAUCGGAAUUACUGGGCGUAAAGCGCAUGCAGGUGGUUCAAUAAGUCAGAUGUGAAAGCCCGGGGCUCAACCUCGGAACUGCAUUUGAAACUGUUGGACUAGAGUACUGUAGAGGGGGGUAGAAUUUCNGGUGUAGCGGUGAAAAUGCGUAGAGAUCUNGNAAGGAAUACCAGUGGCGAANGCGGNCCCCUGGACAGAUACUGACACUCANAUGCGAAAGCGUGGGGGAGCAAACNNGANNAGANACCCUGGUAGUCCACGCCGUAAA